UGAAAUAUGCUGAAUUUCCUCAUUUUACUACUCUAGGUUGUCAGUGAAAUUAAUCUGGAGAGUCCUAAAUGCAGGUUAUGUGACUUGCCCUUAGGGACAAGCCUUGGACUUUUCUGCCUAGCACCCCAGAGCCAGUGCCCUUUUCGCCUUUGCUUUCCUCAUUCUGUGGAAGUGCUCAGAAUGAAGAAGGGAGCCAUUGAACAGCUCUGGGAAUGCCUUACCACACAGUUUCAGCUGUGCUCUGAUAGCAAGAGAAGGGGUUUGGAGAGAGAAAGCUGUUUUUGAGUUUCAGUUCUGCCACUUCCAGCUCUUUGUGCACUGGCAGUCUUUUCCUGGUCACAGAGAUGCAGUGAUGGCUCUUUUCUGAGAGGACAUAUAUUAUCUGCUUUCUUUUGCUGUGGCACAGAUAGUUCAUUCAUAAGCAUGGCUGUUUGGGCUAAAUCUUGAUUUUUCCUGGAGUAAGCUGGAUAUUUUUCCUGUGGCUC